AUACGGAGGGUGCAAGCGUUAUCCGGAUUCAUUGGGUUUAAAGGGUACGUAGGCGGAUAGAUAAGUUAGUGGUGAAAUCCCGAAGCUCAACUUCGGAACUGCCAUUAAAACUGUCUAUCUUGAAUUUGGUUGAAGUGGGCGGAAUAUGACAUGUAGCGGUGAAAUGCAUAGAUAUGUCAUGGAACACCAAUAGUGAAGACAGCUCACUAAGCCAAUAUUGACGCUGAGGUACGAAAGCAUGGGUAGCGAACAGGAUUAGAAACCCUAGUAGUCC
rnacentral:rRNA from 1 species